UACGUAGGGGGCAAGCGUUAUCCGGAUUUACUGGGUUUAAAGGGUGCGUAGGCGGGCCCUUAAGUCAGUGGUGAAAGCUCCGAGCUUAACUCGGAAACUGCCAUUGAUACUAUAGGUCUUGAAUUCGGUCGAGGUUGGCGGAAUGUGUCGUGUAGCGGUGAAAUGCUUAGAUAUGACACAGAACACCGAUUGCGAAGGCAGCUAGCUAGACCGACAUUGACGCUGAGGCACGAAAGCGUGGGGAUCAAACAGG
rnacentral:rRNA from 1 species